rnacentral:rRNA from 1 species
AAGCGGAGGAAAAGAAACCAACAGGGAUUGCUUUAGUAGCGGCGAGUGAAGCGGCAAAAGCUCAAAUUUGAAAUUUGGCUCUUUCAGAGUCCGAGUUGUAAUUUGAAGAAGGUAUCUUUGGGUCUGGCUCUGGUCUAUGUUUCUUGGAACAGAACGUCACAGAGGGUGAGAAUCCCGUGCGAUGAGAUGAUCCAGGCCUAUGUAAAGUUCCUUCGAAGAGUCGAGUUGUUUGGGAAUGCAGCUCUAAGUGGGUGGUAAAUUCCAUCUAAAGCUAAAUAUUGGCGAGAGACCGAUAGCGAACAAGUACAGUGAUGGAAAGAUGAAAAGAACUUUGAAAAGAGAGUGAAAAAGUACGUGAAAUUGUUGAAAGGGAAGGGCUUGAGAUCAGACUUGGUAUUUUGUAUGUUACUUCUUCGGGGGUGGCCUCUACAGUUUAUCGGGCCAGCAUCAGUUUGGGCGGUAGGAGAAUUGCGUUGGAAUGUGGCACGGCUUCGGUUGUGUGUUAUAGCCUUCGUCGAUACUGCCAGCCUAGACUGAGGACUGCGGUUUAUACGUAGGAUGUUGGCA